GCGUGAAUAUGCAGGCCUGGUGCUAAUUAAGCAUUAUAAAAGCUUAUCUUAUUAUCGCAUUUCAUUAGGAGUAUUGUGAGUAACUUUGUGUCUUUUAUCAUAA